rnacentral:rRNA from 1 species
GAGUUUGAUCAUGGCUCAGGAUAAACGCUGGCGGCGUGCCUAAUACAUGCAAGUCGAACGAGGGAACCAGUUUACUGGUGAACUUAGUGGCGAACGGGUGAGUAAUACGUAAGCAACCUGCCACGGAGACCGGGAUAAUCCCUGGAAACGGGGACUAAGACCGGAUAGGCAGCGGAGGGGAUCCCACUGCUGUUAAAGAUGGAAAACACUGGUGGAUGGGCUUACGGUGCAUUAGCUUGUGGUGAGGUAACGGCCCACCAAGGCGAUGAUGCAUAGCCGGCCUGAGAGGGUGAACGGCCAAUUGGUACUGAGACACGGCCCAGACUCCUACGGGAGGCAGCAGUAGGGAAUUUUCGGCAAGGAGGAAACUCUGACCGAGCAACGCCGCGUGAGUGAAGAAGGUCUUCGGAUUGUAAAGCUUGUUGUAAGGGAAGAACGGUCUGUGGAGAACACAGGAGUGACGGUACCUUACCAGAAAGCACGGCUAACUACGUGCCAGCAGCCGCGGUAAUACGUAGGUGGCGAGC